rnacentral:rRNA from 1 species
AGUGAACGCUGGCGGUAGGCCUAACACAUGCAAGUCUUUCGGCAGCACAUUAAUGGCUUGCUUUUACGGGUGGCGAGUGGCGGACGGGUGAGGAAUACUUCGGCAUCUACUUUUUCGUGGGGGCUAACGUAGGUAAACUUACGCUAAUACCUCAUACGACCUCCUGGUGAAAGCAGUGGAUCUUCGGACCUGGCGCGAUAGUAUGAGCCGAUGUCCGAUUAGCUAGUUGGCGGGGUAACGGACCACCAAGGCGAUGAGAGGUAGCCGGUCUGAGAGGGUGGACGGCCACAAGGGGACUGAGAUACGGCCCUUACUACUACGGGAGGCAGCAGUGGGGAAUAUUGGACAAUGGGGGCAACACUGAUCCAGCAAUUCUGUGUGCACGAUGAAGGUUUUCGGAUUGUAAAGUGAUUGCAGCAGGGAAGAAAAAAAUGACGGUACCUGAAGAAGAAGCGACGGCUAAAUACGUG